GGGCAGGCCAUACGGACGCCAAAAAGUGUCCCUGGCCGCCUACACCCACUAUACAUCCACAAACCCGUGUGCACUGUCUUGGAGAAAGGCUUCAGAGAAGUUUUUUGUGGCCUCUCUUGGGGUCUUUCUUCGCUACAAACUCGAAUGGUUAGUAUGAACGUGGAACUUGGUUGGACCGUCACUGGCCAACAAACUAUACACAACUUUCGACAACGGAUCUCUUGGUUCUCCCAUCGAUGAAGAACGCAGCGAAACGCGAUAGGUAAUGUGAAUUGCAGAAUUCCGUGAAUCAUCGAAUCUUUGAACGCACCUUGCGCUCUAUGGCAAUCCGUAGAGCAUGCCUGUUUGAGUGCCAUGAAAUCUCCCACCCCAAGCGGUUUUUAAAUGAAACGGCUUGGCGGAUGGGGUCUGGAUGGGUGCCUCUGCCUGCGCUACCAAGCACAGGCUCGCCCGAAAUGCAUGAGCGCCUUGAGACACUUUGCAUCCGCCUCUCUGUUUGGGAGGAGGCGGCCAAGCAGUGCUUUUCUCCUGGCAUGGCAUGAUACGUCAUUUGCUAUGUCGCCUAAAGGAGGA
rnacentral:sRNA from 1 species